rnacentral:rRNA from 1 species
UAGCCGUAAACGAUACUCGCUAGGUGUCGGCCACGGUGCGACCGUUGUCGGUGCCGUAGGGAAGCCGUGAAGCGAGCCACCUGGGAAGUACGGCCGCAAGGCUGAACUUAAAGGAAUUGGCGGGGGAGCACCACAACGGGUGGAGCUUGCGGUUUAAUUGGAUUCAACGCCGGAAAUCUUACCGGGACCGACAGCAACAUGAAGGCCAGGCUGAAGACUUUGCCGGAUUAGCUGAGAGGAGGUGCAUGGCGUAGUCGUGU